rnacentral:lncRNA from 1 species
UGUGUGAGACUAAGUAACUGAUAGAUCCUUGGACUUCCAUUCACAGCUGCGACUGAACCAUUGUUGGGAAUUGGGCUGCAGACUUGAUGUGAUUUUCCACUUUCAGAUUCAUCUUGGCUCAAGGCCCUGAGGUUCACAGGACCACAACAUUCUGCUUGUGUCAAACAUUCAGGUAGCUUCGUUGACCACAAGGAACUUCUGAGGGAUCUUCAGCUUCAUUCAUUUCUUCUGUACAUUAGCUCACCUGGCCCUCCCAAAACCCAGGAGGGAUUACUAGUCCUCUGUUUCCACCAAACUUUCAAUGACAUAUGGGGACCUUGACCUGGAGAAAUUGCAACCAACCAUAGAUAGACUGUCUUUCUACAUGGGCCUGGGAUUUCUAAACUGAAACCCGGGAGGAAAGAGCACAUGGCAUAUCAUCCCUCUGUCCAGGGAAGUCUUUGUCCUUGAUGGACAUCAUCAGAAAGAAGAAGA